GUUUUUAUAGUUGAAUAACAGCGGCAGCUUUUCAUGCUGUAGGUCUGAGUUAGAGUCUCAGUAAAAAUA
rnacentral:tRNA from 1 species